GGGAGGCAGCAUUGGGGAAUAUUGCACAAUGGGCGUAAGCAUGAUGCAGCAACGCCGCGUGCGGGACGAAGGCCUUCGGGUAGUAAACCGCUUUCAGCAGGGACGAGGCCCUCACGGUGACGGUACCAGCAGAAGAAGCCCCGGCUAACUACGUGCCAGCAGCCGCGGUAAUACGUAGGGGGCGAGCGUUAUCCGGAUUCAUUGGGCGUAAAGCGCGCGUAGGCGGCCUGUUAGGUCGGGGGUCAAAUACCGGGGCUCAACCCCGGUCCGCCCCCGAUACCGGCAGGCUUGAGUCUGGUAGGGGAAGGCGGAAUUCCCAGUGUAGCGGUGGAAUGCGCAGAUAUUGGGAAGAACACCGGCGGCGAAGGCGGCCUUCUGGGCCACGACUGACGCUGAGGCGCGAAAGCUAGGGGAGCGAACAGGAUUAGAUACCCUGGUAGUCCUAGCCGUAAACGAUGGACGGUAGGUGUUGGGG
rnacentral:rRNA from 1 species